GUAGAGAUAGCUUAGUGGUUAAGAGCGCUGACUGUUUUUCCAGAGGUCCUGAGUUCAAUUCUCAGCAACCACA
rnacentral:tRNA from 2 species